GACUGGUCCGAGUGCAGUGUUGUUUACAAGUAAUUGAUCACAGCCUGUUACAGAUUUCUUGUUUCUCCUCUACUCCCACUGCUUCACCUGACUAGCCUUAA
ensembl:misc_RNA Y_RNA Y RNA